UACGUAGGGGGCAAGCGUUGUCCGGAGUUACUGGGCGUAAAGCGCGCGCAGGCGGCUCGUCAAGCCUGACGUGAAAGCCCCCGGCUCAACCGGGGAGGGUCGUCGGGGACUGGCGGGCUUGAGGUCGGCAGGGGUUGGUGGAAUUCCAGGUGUAGCGGUGAAAUGCGUAGAUAUCUGGAGGAACACCGGUGGCGAAGGCGGCAUCCUGGACCAAUUCUGACGCUGAGGAGCGAAAGCCAGGGGAGCAAACGGG
rnacentral:rRNA from 1 species